AGCGAACGCUGGCGGCAGGCCUAACACAUGCAAGUCGAACGAACCUUUCGGGGUUAGUGGCGGACGGGUGAGUAACACGUGGGAACGUGCCUUUAGGUUCGGAAUAACUCAGGGAAACUUGUGCUAAUACCGAAUGUGCCCUUCGGGGGAAAGAUUUAUCGCCUUUAGUGCGGCCCGCGUCUGAUUAGCUAGUUGGUUGAGGUAAUGGCUCACCAAGGCGACGAUCAGUAGCUGGUCUGAGAGGAUGGUCAGCCACAUUGGGACUGAGACACGGCCGAAACUCCUCCGGGAGGCAGCAGUGGGGAAUCUUGCGCAAUGGGCGAAAGCCUGACGCAGCCAUGACGCGUGAAUGAUGAAGGUCUUAGGAUUGUAAAAUUCUUUCACCGGGGACGAUAAUGACGGUACCCGGAGAAGAAGCCCCGGCUAACUUCGUG
rnacentral:rRNA from 1 species